rnacentral:rRNA from 1 species
UAGGGAAUCUUCCGCAAUGGGCGAAAGCUUGACGGAGCAACGCCGCGUGAGUGAUGAAGGUCUUCGGAUCGUAAAACUCUGUUAUUAGGGAAGAACAAAUGUGUAAGUAACUAUGCACGUCUUGACGGUACCUAAUCAGAAAGCCACGGCUAACUACGUGCCAGCAGCCGCGGUAAUACGUAGGUGGCAAGCGUUAUCCGGAAUUAUUGGGCGUAAAGCGCGCGUAGGCGGUUUUUGAAGUCUGAUGUGAAAGCCCACGGCUCAACCGUGGAGGGUCAUUGGAAACUGGAAGACUUGAGUGCAGAAGAGGAAAGUGGAAUUCCAUGUGUAGCGGUGAAAUGCGCAGAGAUAUGGAGGAACACCAGUGGCGAAGGCGACUUUCUGGUCUGUAACUGACGCUGAUGUGCGAAAGCGUGGGGAUCAAACAGG